rnacentral:rRNA from 1 species
UACGUAGGGUGCGAGCGUUGUCCGGAAUUACUGGGCGUAAAGAGCUCGUAGGUGGUUUGUCGCGUUGUCCGUGAAAACUCACAACUCAAUUGUGGGCGUGCGGCGAUACGGGCAGACUGGAGUACUGCAGGGGAGACUGGAAUUCCUGGUGUAGCGGUGGAAUGCGCAGAUAUCAGGAGGAACACCGGUGGCGAAGGCGGGUCUCUGGGCAGUAACUGACGCUGAGGAGCGAAAGCGUGGGGAGCGAACAGG